UCCUAUACAGAAUCAAUUUCAAUAAUUAGAAAGAAUACGAAUAUCAUAUUUUAAUGGUUUAGAUUGGGUCCGAUCAUCUAAUUUCAUCUAAUCAAAAUCUAAUUAGGACCUAAACGAUCCAAGGUUUGACUAUCAGAUCAAAUCGGAUUCGAAGUGAUAGGACCGAGAUUUCUUCAUCGAUUUCAUAAAAUCAAGUAGAGAG
rnacentral:lncRNA from 1 species